AUGGCGACCGGCGCACGGGUGAGUAACACGUAUCCAACCUGCCGAUGACUCGGGGAUAGCCUUUCGAAAGAAAGAUUAAUACCCGAUGACAUAGUUCUUCCGCAUGGUAGAACUAUUAAAGAAUUUCGGUCAUCGAUGGGGAUGCGUUCCAUUAGCUUGUUGGUGGGGCAACGGCCCACCAAGCCGACGAUGCGUAGGGGUUCUGAGAGGAAGGUCCCCCACAUUGGAACUGAGACACGGUCCAAACUCCUACGGAAGGCAGCAG
rnacentral:rRNA from 1 species